rnacentral:lncRNA from 1 species
CUAAGAUUGAAUGAUUCGGAGUUUAAAUGCCUACUAAGACUUCUGUUUCAAUUAACCCUACAGAUUCUGCAAAAUAGGGACUGAAAUUUCUGACAUUCUGUCACUAAAUUGCUCAUAACUCUCUAGAGAAAAUUCUGAACUAAGCAAAACUUAGUUCUUUGGAAACUAGAUUCGUGUAUCUUUCUUUUGACACCUAUUU